GGGAGCGUAAUUCAGUGGUAGAAGAUACGUCUUAUAAGCGGAUUGUCGGUGAGUUCGAUUCUCCCCGCUCCUA
rnacentral:tRNA from 2 species